rnacentral:rRNA from 1 species
UACGGAGGGUGCGAGCGUUGUCCGGAAUCACUGGGCGUAAAGGGCGCGUAGGUGGCUCACGCAAGCGUGCGGUGAAAGCCCGGGGCUCAACCCCGGGUCGGCCGUGCGGACUGCGGGGCUCGAGCACUGUAGGGGCAGAUGGAAUUCCGGGUGUAGCGGUGGAAUGCGUAGAGAUCCGGAAGAACACCGGUGGCGAAGGCGGUCUGCUGGGCAGUUGCUGACACUGAGACACGAAGGCCAGGGGAGCAAACGGG